AGAUUAGCUCAGUUGGUUAGAGCACCUGCCUUACAAGCAGGGGGUCAUAGGUUCGAGUCCUAUAUCUCC
rnacentral:tRNA from 1 species